rnacentral:rRNA from 1 species
GUAGGUGGCAAGCGUUGUCCGGAAUUAUUGGGCGUAAAGCGCGCGCAGGCGGUUCUUUAAGUCUGAUGUGAAAGCCCACGGGCUCAACCGUGGAGGGUCAUUGGAAACUGGAGAACUUGAGUACAGAAGAGGAAAGCGGAAUUCCACGUGUAGCGGUGAAAUGCGUAGAGAUGUGGAGGAACACCAGUGGCGAGGGCGGCUUUCUGGUCUGUAACUGACGCUGAGGCGCGAAAGCGUGGGGAGCAAACAGGAUUAGAUACCCUGGUAGUCCACGCCGUAACCGAUGAGUGCUAAGUGUUAGGGGGUUUCCGCCCCUUAGUGCUGCAGCUAACGCAUUAAGCACUCCGCCUGGGGAGUACGGCCGCAAGGCUG